GACGAACGCUGGCGGCGUGCUUAACACAUGCAAGUCGAACGGAAAGGCCCUGCUUUUGUGGGGUGCUCGAGUGGCGAACGGGUGAGUAACACGUGAGUAACCUGCCCUUGACUUUGGGAUAACUUCAGGAAACUGGGGCUAAUACCGGAUAGGAGCUCCUGCUGCAUGGUGGGGGUUGGAAAGUUUCGGCGGUUGGGGAUGGACUCGCGGCUUAUCAGCUUGUUGGUGGGGUAGUGGCUUACCAAGGCUUUGACGGGUAGCCGGCCUGGGAGGGGGAACGGCGACAUUGGGACUGAGGUACGGCCCAGACUCCAACGGGAGGCAGCAGGGGGGAAUAUUGCACAAUGGGCGGAAGCCUGAUGCAGCAACGCCGCGUGCGGGAUGACGGCCUUCGGGUUGUAAACCGCUUUCGCCUGUGACGAAGCGUGAGUGACGGUAAUGGGUAAAGAAGCACCGGCUAACUACGUG
rnacentral:rRNA from 1 species